rnacentral:rRNA from 1 species
ACCAGACUCCUACGGGAGGCAGCAGUGGGGAAUAUUGCACAAUGGGGGAAACCCUGAUGCAGCGACGCCGCGUGAGUGAAGAAGUAUUUCGGUAUGUAAAGCUCUAUUAGCAGGGAAGAAAUAGCGACCUUUGGGUCGCCAGACGGUACCUGACUAAGAAGCCCCGGCUAACUACGUGCUAGCAGCCGCGGUAAUACGUAGGGGGCAAGCGUUAUCCGGAUUUACUGGGUGUAAAGGGAGCGUAGACGGCAGCGCAAGGCUGAAGUGAAAGCCCAUGGCUUAACCAUGGAACUGCUUUGGAAACUGUGCAGCUGGAGUGCAGGAGAGGGAAGCGGAAUUCCUAGUGGAGCGGUGAAAUGCGUAGAUAUUAGGAGGAACACCAGUG